GUGUCAGCCGCCGCGGUAAUACGGGGGGAACAAGCGUUGUUCGGAAUUACUGGGCUUAAAGCGCGCGCAGGCGGAAUAGCAAGUCCGGUCGUGAAAUCCUCCGGCUUAACCGGAGAAUGGCGCUGGAAACUGCUGUUCUUGAGUGCGGAAGAGGAAAGUAGAAUUCACGGUGUAGCGGUGAAAUGCGUAGAUAUCGUGAGGAAUACCGGUGGCGAAGGCGGCUUUCUGGUCCGCAACUGACGCUCAGGCGCGAAGGCUAGGGGAGCAAACAGGAUUAGAUACCCUGGUAGUCCUAGCGGUAAACGUUGUGCACUAGGUGUGAGGCCCCGACGAGGGGCUUCGUGCCGCAGCGAAAGCAUUAAGUGCACCACCUGGGGAGUACGGCCGCAAGGCUGAA
rnacentral:rRNA from 1 species